rnacentral:rRNA from 1 species
UACGAAGGGGGCUAGCGUUGCUCGGAAUCACUGGGCGUAAAGCGCACGUAGGCGGCUUUCUAAGUCAGGGGUGAAAUCCCAGAGCUCAACUCUGGAACUGCCUUUGAUACUGGGUGUCUUGAGUAUGGAAGAGGUGAGUGGAAUUCCGAGUGUAGAGGUGAAAUUCGUAGAUAUUCGGAGGAACACCAGUGGCGAAGGCGGCUCACUGGUCCAUUACUGACGCUGAGGUGCGAAAGCGUGGGGAGCAAACAGG